rnacentral:rRNA from 1 species
GCGAACGCUGGCGGCAGGCCUAACCCAUGCAAGUCGAACGGAUCCUUCGGGAUUAGUGGCGGACGGGUGAGUAACACGUGGGAACGUGCCCUUUGGUUCGGAACAACUCAGGGAAACUUGAGCUAAUACCGGAUGUGCCCUUCGGGGGAAAGAUUUAUCGCCAUUGGAGCGGCCCGCGUCUGAUUAGCUAGUUGGUGAGGUAACGGCCCACCAAGGCGACGAUCAGUAGCUGGUCUGAGAGGAUGAUCAGCCACACUGGGACUGAGACACGGCCCAGACUCCUACGGGAGGCAGCAGUGGGGAAUCUUGCGCAAUGGGCGAAAGCCUGACGCAGCCAUGCCGCGUGAAUGAUGAAGGUCUUAGGAUUGUAAAAUUCUUUCAGCGGGGACGAUAAUGACGGUACCCGCAGAAGAAGCUCCGGCUAACUUCGUG